CAGACAAGUUGCAUUAUAUGAAACCAGAACCGUUAUAUAUGAAAUGUCAAGUGAACCUUUCUUUUACAUAACGGACGAUCAGAUGAGCCGAUCCACAGAGUUCAAAAAUCUGAUAACCCAUCGAUAAUGCCUUCCAAAGGCAUGUAUAUGAUAAUUUACAUGAUCAGGCAAUGAUUAUAAGUUGAAAUUUAUUUUUUUUUCUCUCCAUGAACCGGAACUGUCAUAGCAAAAGAGAUUCUAUAACUUAACAGCACUGGUUCUGGCAUAAAGCUUUUAUGUCCUUUAAAGAGGAUCAAAGGACUCAUCUCAUUUUGUAGUCUGUUGAAAAGUACUAACAGCUGCCAUUCUUUUCAUGGCAUAAUUUUAGCUCGUAUAGGUUUUUGACAAUAAAAAGGGGGAAGGAUAUUAUCCUUUGAGUACCGCUAGUUUCUCCAGUAAGGAACGGAUUUCGGUGCUGCUACAUUCCUCGUCUGC
rnacentral:misc_RNA from 1 species